AAAUAGACUACCCGGGUAGUCCACGCCGUAAACGAUGGAUGCUAGCUGGUAGGGGGUAUCGACCCCUUCUGUAGCGAAGCUAACGCGUUAAGCAUCCCGCCUGUGGAGUACGGCCGCAAGGCUAAAACAUAAAGGAAUUGACGGGGACCCGCACAAGCGGUGGAUCGUGUUCUUUAAUUCGAUGAUAAACGGAGAACCUUACCAGGGCUUGACAUCCUUGGAAUUUCUGCGAAAGCAGUUAGUGCCUUUUGGAACCAAGUGACAGGUGAUGCAUGGCCGUCGUCAGCUCGUGUCGUGAGAUGUUUGGUUAAGUCCAUCAACGAGCGCAACCCUUAUGUUUAGUUGUAUUUUUCUAAACAGACUGCCCCGGUAACGGGGAGGAAGGAGGGGAUGAUGUCAGGUCAGUAUUCCCUUACGUCCUGGGCUAGAAACACGAUACAAUGGCUAGUACAAUGCGCAGCGAAGCCGCGAGGUGGAGCAAAUCGCACCAAAGCUAGUCCCAGUUCGGAUUGGAGGCUGAAACUCGCCUCCAUGAAGUCGGAAUCG
rnacentral:rRNA from 1 species